AUUGAACGCUGGCGGCAGGCCUAACACAUGCAAGUCGAGCGGAUGAAGGGAGCUUGCUCCUGGGUUCAGCGGCGGACGGGUGAGUAAUGCCUAGGAAUCUGCCUGGUAGUGGGGGAUAACGUCCGGAAACGGGGGCUAAUACCGCAUACGACCUGAGGGAGAAAGUGGGGGAUCUUCGGACCUCACGCUAUCAGAUGAGCCUAGGUCGGAUUAGCUAGUUGGUGGGGUAAAGGCCUACCAAGGCGACGAUCCGUAACUGGUCUGAGAGGAUGACCAGCCACACUGGAACUGAGACACGGUCCAGACUCCUACGGGAGGCAGCAGUGGGGAAUAUUGGACAAUGGGGGAAAGCCUGAUCCAGCCAUGCCGCGUGUGUGAAGAAGGUCUUCGGAUUGUAAAGCACUUUAAGUUGGGAGGAAGGGCAGUAAGUUAAUACCUCGCUGUUUUGACGUUACCAAAAGAAUAAGCACCGGCUAACUUCGUG
rnacentral:rRNA from 1 species